AGUUUCUCCAAUGGGGAUGGCAUGCCAGAUACACUCAAGUGCCAAGGGUACACGUCAACACAUAACCUUGCAACUCUGGAUUCUCUCCUGGAGCCACGCAAUUGGUCUCUCCUAGAACUCGGGCGCCAGACUUUAGGAGGUAUGCCCGGAGUUCGGAAUGACUGCGUCCUGAAGGCCCAAGGCUCCCUCUGACGUGGGAAACAGGGACGCGGUGCCCUGACCCUCACAGGCCCAACGACACCCAUCAGACACCCAGGGUUUCUGCAGCCCUGGCUGCACCCGGCACUUCUCUCCAAGAGGCAAGGGAAGGACACUCGCCAUCUUCCCCCGGAGGAUGAAGACAAAGAAACUUUGAGCCACCUCCUCCUGCCUCUACAAGGCUGGAAAAGAUUCUGGACUCCUCUAGAGCCACAUUCCAGCCUCCUGCCUCUACGUCUGGCGGGGGCUUCAGGGUGCUCACGACGCCUCCAGGGAAGGGUCGGCCACAAAAGGGGAAAGCCACAGACUGAACGUCUGCAUUAGGGCAGGAGAGCGCUUUAAGUGGGGGCACCUAGCAGCCGACCGACGCUCCUCUCCCGGCAGGAGGCUCCAUUAAGACGUGGUGUUUGUUCAGGCUCAAGGCCCCAGCUGCUUAAUAGGUUCCAGAAGGGCUCACAGGAGUAGCGUUCUAGGGAGGCCCCGGGGAGCCUCAGGCCCCUCGCCCCGCCCCUCCUCCGCAGGGACCGGGAUCUCGGCGCCCGCCGCCCCCUCCGCCCAGCCCAGCAGCACCGGCCCGCCACCUGCAGCGGUGGGCUGCGCGGCGGAGGGGGCGGCGCAGUGGGAGCUGGACCCGCCCCCACCUCCCCUCCCCACCCUCGGGCUGGGCGGGCCGGCCGCGCACAAUAACCCGCCGCCGGGGCCGGGGGAGACCAUUGUGCCGGCCGAGCCCGGCGGGGGAGGGGGGGGCUUCGCGGGGGAGGAAGCGUCCGAGGAGGUGGGGGGCGCCCGGGGGGGGGGGGCGACGGCGCCCACCGGCUGUUGUCGCCCCGGGGGCCGGGGCGGUUGGGGCGGCCGCGGGGCCGCUACCUUUGGCGAGCGCCACGGUGGAGUUGUCCGUGUCGAUGGUGUAGAGGAUGCCCUCGUAGCGGAUUUGCGCCUUGGAGAUGAGGCUGAUCUUGCUGCCCAGAGAUUAUAGCUGUGCUGCCCAUCUCGUCAGUGCUGGUGAGGAGCCUGGAAGACCGUGCCCGUGGGGGCCUUGGCAGGGGCCAGGAGCCCACCGCCUGGGCCCACCCAACGGGAAGCUGGCUGUGCCGAGGACCACCCACUGCAAACAUGAGCCGCUUACCUAAGCACCUGCUGUGUGUAUGGAGAGGAGUGAAGCAGGCCCUCAUGAGGACAGGUGUGAAUAUGUGGACGUGGGACGCCUCCUGGGUCCCAUCACAGGCUGGCAGCGUCACACGGCCAGCGUCCUGCAAGAGGAGGGCACGUUGCCACAGCAUAUCACUGGGACUCUGAUGUCCCCCUGAGGAAGUAUGGGCCACGUGACCGUGGGUAUGCUAGGUAUCACUGCUUGCUAGGAGCAAAACGUAACAGGUGAGUUGAUUCAAAGACACGUCAGUGAUGGGUGAUCUACAGAGCAAGUCAAGUCAGUGGCCUGAAGCGUGGCAGCAUGCCAGCGGGGCAGGACCUCACCCGUCUCCUGAGGCUGGCACAAGGGAGGCGGGUGCUCGCUUCUGGGGAAGCCCUGGCCCAGCUGCAGGUAGCGCCGCCCGGAGGCAGCCGAGAGUACAGGCGGGCUGGGCGCAGAGAUCAGGGCUGGCUUUGAAGGUGCCACCUACUAGGCCUUCCCAGCAGGGAAAGGGGCUGGAGGCCCGGGGUGUUGGGGGUGUUCGGUGGCCGGAGGAGCCGGGAGGGAAAAGACUGGAAGGGGAUCUUGUUCUUCCGGAGCCAAGAAUUCUGAGGUCUGACCUGCUCUCUGUGAAUCCUGUUGAAAUCCAUUUCCUCCUGCCCAGGGCCCUACAGGGCUGUUUUCCUUAGAAACACGAGGAGCACCAGUAGGUGAGGGCCUGAGGUUCAUGCAUCUUGUUCCCCCUCUCCCUUCCCCUCCCCCUGCCCUCUCCCCUCCCCUCCCCUCCCUCUCCACCCUUUCCCAGUUAAGCACUCUGGUGUGAGGGAGCUAGGGAGUGAGAAGUCCAAGAAAAACAUUAGGGCCCCGACCCCAGCAAGCCACAGCCACCUUUCCCGGCUUCCCGCUGGGCAGAGGGCUGAGCAGAGUUGGCUCCCCGAGGGGAGCUGCCCCUCAGAAGUUCAGAGGGAAACGCUUCGAGAUUCUGGAAAUAGGAGAGGGCACCAGAGGAGGCCCGAGGGGCUUCUCUCCUGAUGGCCAACUCCGCUGCUGCUCCCCAAAGCUUGAAGAGUGGGGACAGUGUGGGGGGACAUGUUCCUGGGCCUCACCGCUGGAACACCGCCCGGGGCCUCCUGGCUGUGGGCUCUCCCAGCGUUUGAGAUGUCUAGACCCCACCUCAGAGAGACGAGCACUGAAUGUGCAAGGAGCUGCUCACGCGGGACCAGCGCACAGAAGAACCCAGUCAUGCCCCGUCCCGGAUCCCUGCCUGCGGGGCCCUGGCGGUGAGGGUGACAGCCUGGGUGGGGUACGGGCGGCCUCAGGACCGCCGCCGGAGCCAUCCUCAGCCACAGGGCCCUGCCACCUCUUCCCUCUGCCUGGGGCCCCUCUCGGCCUUUCCAGGGAAGAGGAGACAUCCAGGCCGAGAGGGGCCCGGAGGGACAGCCUCCCGGCAGGUGAGGGGGUGGUUGGGGGUGGCCUGCUGAGGACAGAGCUGGACAGCAAAGUGGCAGAUGGCCUGGGGGUGGCUCCUGGUUCCCCCUCCCCUGCUAGUUGGUGGGGGCCCCUGAUGGUGCCACCCUGCCCCCCACCAGCCUGAGAGCCCUUGCACAGCCGGCUUGGCUCGAGGGGAGCGUGCCAUUGUUGUCUGUCGGGCUCAGCUUACAGGGGCCGUGAGAGCGGCCAGCACAGCGAGUCGGUCCGGGCCGCCUGCCGGCCACCUGGACCUUGUCCCCUGACAGUUCCCGAGGGAAGAGGGAAAGGACGACCAAGUGGCCAAGGCCACAGCUGAGGGUGAGGAGAGGGGAUGUGACGAGCAGGGAAGGGGGGUGUAUGGCCCCGUGCCCCUAAAAGAUGGCUCUGAGGACCCAGCGACAGUGCGUCUGCUCACCAGCAGUUGUGCCCCAGAACGCUUUCGCAGUGAAACCGGAAACCCCCGGGCCUGCUGGCAGCAGAUUGGACCUUUGAUGGCAGCGUGUGCCCUGCUGGAAGAUUCUGGGGCACUGAGUGUGAGUGGAACUGGGCUGCAGGGACAGGGUGGCAAGAGAAAGAGACGGAAAACGAUGGCCUGACCCCCUGCACGUAGGCUCAGGGAAGCACGCCCGCGCUGUUACGGUGGCGGUCACUAGGGGCCUAAGGGCUCGAAGGAGCCCGCGUGGCUUUGGGAGCCAGCCACGCAUGGCUACUGGUUACACAGGUGCAUUACAUUUGUGGAUAUCCGUGGAGCUGAACACACGUGAGCUGAGCACUCCUGUGCGCAUGUCUAUCACACUUGGAAAGAAAGUAAACGGAGAGCCUUGUUCCAGGGCAACCCACUAUGCUUUUACUAAGUGCCCACAACGGCCAGUGUUUGCUGAGCUGCCCCGUGCCGGCACCGAUGCCCGCCCGGUCACGCGUUCCCCUCCCCUGACCCCGGUCCCGGGCCUCGGAUGUGUGACACCGCACCUUCAGUGGGGAGGCGGCCAGCCAGGUGCUCGGCCAGAGGCACACGACCAGCAGCUAGCAGGGCCGGGGUUCCCUUUGGAGCGUCAGGCUGCUGGCCUGCGCGCCGUGCCCCACAGCCCUCAGCCCUGGGGGUCAGGGACCAGAAGUGACUUUUGUGCUCAAGGAGCUCACCCUUCCAAGGUGUCCCGGAUGGGGGCUGCCCUGAGGCUGGAGCUGGGCAUUUGGGGAAGCAGUUACUUCUUCAAGGCUCUGUCCUCACCGCGCAUCCUCGGCAGUUGCCAUGGAAACCCACAGGCUUACCCGGAGCGUCCUAGGAUGCCUGCUGCAAGCCGACUCCAAGGCUGGGCCCUGUGUGCCGGCGGGGCAGAACUGCAGCCCCAAGAACGAAGUAAAGAGGGAGUGGGAGAGACCGCCCAGGCUCCCAAAGCCUGGACUCCGCUGACAGCGCUCCGUAAGCCAACCUGAGUGCCCCUUGUGCGCUUACUAAGACAUUCUCACGGCCCAGUAAAAGGCUGCGGCAUGCGGAUGAGCCAGGCACACAGGUAUUUUCACUUGCGUUAAGGUCUGGGGCGUUAACCCAACAAGCCUUCCCUUCUGCUGCUGCCUUAAACAUCCUGAAUGCAAAGGCUGGAUUCAUGCACCGGGUGGAAAGAAACAAUGUGCACGAGGAGCCUGUAGGUGCCCAGGUGGACACAAGGCAGCACGUGGGCCGGGCUGGGAAGAGGGCUCGUACCCCAGGAAGAUGGCUCCUCAGUACAAGACCGCUUCCAGCUUUUCCAGUAGGUACCAGCGGCUACACAGAGAGGACGGCGCCGGAAACCACAGCCUGUGGCCCAUCUGGUUGCUACAGGCCAUCACAGACCUACGUGAAUGCAUACUUGCCUUUCUCAAGCUCUGGGCCAGGAGAGCCACGUCUGCCUUGGGACUCUUGCUGGGUUUGGGGGCAGAGUGUUUUCACAGACAGCAUUCAGCAUGAACUGCGGGACCUCAGGAUGAUCACUCCAGAGUCUGGUGUCUCCACCAUGGGCCGGACUGGAAUUCAUGCCUUAUUCACUUCCUUAUUUGUUUAAAAGUUUUAUGGACGGGCAUCUGGGUAGCUCAGUGGUUGAGCGUCCGUUUUGGCUCAGGUCAUGAUCUCACGGUUCGUGAGUUCAAGCCCCACAUUGGGCUCGCUGCUGUCAGCACAGAGCGUGCUUGGGAUCUUCUGUCCCUCUCUCUCUCUCUCUCUCUCUCUGCCUCUCCCCUGCGUGUGCAUGCACGUGUGCUCGCUCGCUCACUCUCUCUCAAAAUAAAUCAACAACAACAAAAAAAUGAAACUAAAAAUAAAAAUUUUGAAAUAUUACAUAUCAUAAUAUUCACCCAUUUACAGCAUACAGUUUAGGGGCGCUUGGGUGGCUCAGUCGGUUAAGAGUCUGACUUUGGCUCAGGUCGUGAUCUCACAGUUUGUGAAUUCUAGUCCCACGUUGGAUUCUGUGCUGACAGCUCAGAGCCUGGCACCUGCUUUGGAUUGUGUCUUUCUCUCUACCCUCCCCCACUUGUUCUCUCUUUCUC